CUUGGAAUCCGAGUAGUCCGAGCUUUUUUUCUCCGCGAGAUUUUGUCAAUUUUCCUCGAGAAAAGUGAAUUUUAUGUAGUGAAUUUUCCGUGAAAGUGAAGUGUAAAUUGGACUGCAGUGAAUCAUGUGAAAAAUGCCAAGCCUCCAGGGGGAAAACCACCUGAAAAAAGGUUCUGCAAAGAGGUCUUGACAAUCAGAGAAACAGCUUAGCACAAAAAAAAGGUACAUCAUUCUGGAUAUAUUCUCGACACAGACUGCAUUUUCCAUUACCCAGUGGAGAAUUCGCUGUGAGUGGACAUUUUAUUUCAUUUGCACCCCUCUCGAUUCGUGAGUGAUUAAAAAUCAACGCAAAUUAAAAAGUGUUCUAAAUUCUGUCCAGUUUCCAGUUCAAAAGUUGCACCGCCAUUU